rnacentral:rRNA from 1 species
UGAGACCCGCCAGACUCCUACGGAGCAGCAGUGGGGAAUAUGCCCAUGGGGAAACCUGAUGCAGCGACGCCGCGUGAGGGAUGACGGCCUUCGGGUUGUAACCUCUUUCAGUAGGGAAGAAGCCCUUCGGGUGACGGUACCUGCAGAAGAAGUACCGGCUAACUACGUGCCAGCAGCCGCGGUAAUACGUAGGGUACAAGCGUUGUCCGGAAUUAUUGGGCGUAAAGAGCUCGUAGGCGGUCCGUCGCGUCUGCUGUGGAAUCGCAAGGCUCAACCCUUGCGCGUGCAGUGGGUACGGGCGGACUAGAGUGCAGUAGGGGAGUCUGGAAUUCCUGGUGUAGCGGUGAAAUGCGCAGAUAUCAGGAGGAACACCGGUGGCGAAGGCGGGACUCUGGGCUGUUACUGACGCUGAGGAGCGAAAGCAUGGGGAGCGAACAGGAUUAGAUACCCUGGUAGUCCAUGCCGUAAACGUUGGGCACUAGGUGUGGGGCUCAUUCCACGAGUUCCGCGCCGCAGCUAACGCAUUAAGUGCCCCGCCUGGGGAGUACGGCCGCAAGGCUAAAACUCAAAGGAAUUGACGGGGGCCCGCACAAGCGGCGGAGCAUGCGGAUUAAUUCGAUGCAACGCGAAGAACCUUACCAAGGCUUGACAUACACCGGAAUGGGCCAGAGAUGGUUCAGCCCUUUGGGCUGGUGUACAGGUGGUGCAUGGUUGUCGUCAGCUCGUGUCGUGAGAUGUUGGGUUAAGUCCCGCAACGAGCGCAACCCUCGUUCUAUGUUGCCAGCACGUGAUGGUGGGAACUCAUAGGAGACUGCCGGGGUCAACUCGGAGGAAGGUGGGGAUGACGUCAAAUCAUCAUGCCCUUUAUGUCUUGGGCUUCACGCAUGCUACAAUGGUUGGUACAAAGGGUGGCGAGACCGCGAGGUGGAGCGAAUCCCGGAAAGCCGAUCUCAGUUCGGAUCGUAGUCUGCAACUCGACUACGUGAAGUCGGAGUCGCUAGUAAUCGCAGAUCAGC